rnacentral:rRNA from 1 species
AGCGAACGCUGGCGGCAGGCCUAACACAUGCAAGUCGAACGGACCCUUCGGGGUUAGUGGCGGACGGGUGAGUAACACGUGGGAACGUGCCUUUAGGUUCGGAAUAGCUCCUGGAAACGGGUGGUAAUGCCGAAUGUGCCCUUAGGGGGAAAGAUUUAUCGCCUUUAGAGCGGCCCGCGUCUGAUUAGCUAGUUGGUGAGGUAAUAGCUCACCAAGGCUACGAUCAGUAGCUGGUCUGAGAGGAUGACCAGCCACAUUGGGACUGAGACACGGCCCAAACUCCUACGGGAGGCAGCAGUGGGGAAUCUUGCGCAAUGGGCGAAAGCCCGACGCAGCCAUGCCGCGUGGAUGAUGAAGGUCUUAGGAUUGUAAAAUCCUUUCACCGGUGAAGAUAAUGACUGUAGCCGGAGAAGAAGCCCCGGCUAACUUCGUGCCAGCCGCCGCGGUAAUAC